rnacentral:rRNA from 1 species
GCAGUAGGGAAUCUUGCACAAUGGCGAAAGCCUGAUGCAGCGAUGCCGCGUGAGGGAUGAAGGCCUUCGGGUCGUAAACCUCUUUCAGUAGGGAAGAAGCCACGGGUAACCGUGGUGACGGUACCCGCAGAAGAAGCCCCGGCUAACUUCGUGCCAGCAGCCGCGGUAAUACGAAGGGGGCAAGCGUUGUUCGGAAUUACUGGGCGUAAAGGGCGCGUAGGCGGCUAUCUUUGUCAGGUGUGAAAGCCCCAGGCUCAACCUGGGAAUUGCACUUGGGACGGGGUAGCUUGAGUUCGGGAGAGGAGAGUGGAAUUCCCAGUGUAGAGGUGAAAUUCGUAGAUAUUGGGAAGAACACCGGUGGCGAAGGCGGCUCUCUGGACCGAUACUGACGCUGAGGCGCGAAAGCGUGGGGAGCAAACAGGAUUAGAUACCCGAGU